rnacentral:rRNA from 1 species
AGGCUACAAAUGACGCUCAUGCACGAAGGUGCGGGGAUCGAACAGGAUUAGAUACCCUGGUAGUCCGCACAGUAAACGAUGAAUACUUGUUUUCGGCGAUACACAGUCGGAGACAAAGCGAAAGUGAUAAGUAUUCCACCUGGGGAGUACGCCGGCAACGGUGAAACUCAAAGGAAUUGACGGGGGCCCGCACAAGCGGAGGAACAUGUGGUUUAAUUCGAUGCUACGCGAGGAACCUUACCCGGGCUUGAAAGUUAUCGACGGAGGCUGAAAGGCCUCUUCCCUUCGGGGCGAGAAACUAGGUGCUGCAUGGUUGUCGUCAGCUCGUGCCGUGAGGUGUCGGCUUAAGUGCCAUAACGAGCGCAACCCUUUUCUCCAGUUACCAUCAUUAAGUUGGGGACUCUGGAGACACUGCCAUCGCAAGAUGUGGGGAAGGAUGGGAUGACGUCAAAUCAGCACGGCCCUUACGUCCGGGGCGACACACGUGUUACAAUGGGAAGGACAGCGAGGAACGAUGCGGCGACGCAAAGGGAAUCUUCAAACCUUCUCCCAGUUCGGAUUGGAGUCUGCAACCCGACUCCAUGAAGCUGGAUUCGCUAGU